CAGCAGCGGCGGGCGGCGGGCAGCGGCGGCAGGCUUUGAACCAGCAUGGGUGCUGCGUGCGGGGAGCCCUGGCUGAGGCUGGGGCGCAGGGGGCAGUGGAGGCUGGCACAGGGUACUGGCCCUCUGUGGCUGUGCUGGUAACUGAGAUUGGUCCCCAGGGGCCAUGGAAGAGCCUGGGCCACUUGGUGGGCUCAGCCAGGACCAAGUGGAGCGGUGCAUGAGUGCCAUGCAGGAGGGGACGCAGAUGGUGAAGCUCCGCGGCAGUUCCAAGGGCCUGGCCCGCUUCUACUACCUGGAUGAGCAUCGCUCCUGCCUGCGCUGGAGGCCCUCACGCAAAAACGAGAAGGCCAAGAUCUCCAUCGACUCCAUCCAGGAGGUGAGUGAGGGGCGGCAGUCUGAGAUAUUCCAGCGCUACCCUGAUGGCAGCUUUGACCCCAACUGCUGCUUUAGCAUCUACCAUGGCAGCCACCGCGAGUCGCUGGACCUGGUCUCGCCCAGCGGGGACGAGGCUCGGACCUGGGUCACCGGCCUGCGCUACCUCUUAGCUGGCAUCAGCGACGAGGACAGCUUGGCCCGCCGUCAGCGCACCCGGGACCAGUGGCUGAAGCAGACAUUCGACGAGGCCGACAAGAACGGGGACGGCAGCCUGAACAUCAGCGAGGUCCUGCAGCUGCUGCACAAGCUCAACGUGAACCUGCCCCGGCAGCGCGUGAAGCAGAUGUUCAGGGAGGCAGACACGGAUGACCGGCAGGGGAUGCUGGGCUUCGAGGAGUUCUGUGCCUUCUACAAGAUGAUGUCCACACGCCGGGACCUCUACCUGCUGCUGCUCACCUACAGCAACCACAAGGACUACCUGGACGCGGCUGACCUGCAGCGCUUCCUGGAGGUGGAGCAGAAGAUGCAGGGUGUGACCCUCCAGAGCUGCUAUGACAUCAUCCAGCAGUUUGAGCCCUGCCCGGAAAACAAGUGCAAGGGGGUGCUGGGCAUCGACGGCUUCACUAACUACACGCGGAGCCCUGCGGGUGACAUCUUUAACCCCGAGCACCAUGGCGUCCACCAGGACAUGACGCAGCCCCUGAGCCACUAUUUCAUCACCUCGUCCCACAACACCUACCUCGUUGGGGACCAGCUCAUGUCACAGUCGCGGGCCGACAUGUACACGCGGGUCCUACAGGCUGGCUGCCGCUGUGUGGAGGUGGACUGCUGGGACGGGCCCGACGGGGAGCCCAUUGUCCACCACGGCUACACGCUGACCUCCAAGAUCCUCUUCAGAGAUGUCAUUGAGACCAUCAACAAGUACGCCUUCCUGAAGAACAAGUACCCUGUGAUCCUGUCCAUUGAGAACCACUGCAGUGUUGCCCAGCAGAAGAAGAUGGCUCAGUACCUGACCGACAUCCUUGGGGACAAGCUGGACCUGUCGGCUGUGAGCGGUGAGGACGCCACCAUGCUUCCUUCGCCCCAGAUGCUCAAGGGCAAGAUCCUGGUCAAGGGGAAGAAGCUUCCGGCCAACAUCAGCGAGGACGCGGAGGAAGGCGAGGUGUCAGAUGAAGACAGUGCUGACGAGAUCGAUGAGGACUGCAAACUCCUCAACGGGGACGCCUCCACCAAUCGGAAGCGUGUGGAAAACAUCGCCAAGAAGAAACUGGAUUCUCUAAUCAAGGAGUCAAAGAUUCGGGACUGUGAAGACCCCAAUGACUUCGCUGUGUCCACCUUGCCCCCAGGGAAACCUGGGCACAGAGCAGAGGCCAGAAAGGAGCUGCCCCGUCCUGAGCAGCUAGGAGUGGGAUGCUGGGCACCUCCUGGGCAGAACAAGGCUGAGGAGGAUGUGGAGUCAAGGGAGGACACCCGGGCCAGCAGACGUGAUGGACGCCUGCUCAUGAGCAGCUUCUCCAAGCGCAAGAAAAAGGGCAGCAAGCUGAAGAAGGUGGCAAGCAUGGAGGAGGGGGAUGAGGACCCAGACUCGGCAGGAAGCCAGACACGAGGGACAGCCCGACAGAAGAAGACCAUGAAGCUGUCUCGGGCCCUCUCGGACCUGGUGAAAUACACCAAGUCUGUGGGCUCUCACGACGUGGAGAUGGAGGUGGCCUCCAGCUGGCAGGUGUCGUCCUUCAGCGAGACCAAGGCCCACCAGAUCCUGCAGCAGAAGCCGGCACAGUACCUGCGCUUCAACCAGCACCAGCUUUCGCGGAUCUAUCCCUCAUCCUACCGCGUGGACUCCAGCAACUACAACCCGCAGCCCUUCUGGAAUGCCGGCUGCCAGAUGGUCGCCCUGAACUACCAGUCGGAGGGGCGGAUGCUGCAGCUGAAUCGGGCCAAGUUCAGUGCCAACGGCAACUGUGGCUACGUGCUCAAGCCCCCGUGCAUGUGCCAGGGCGUCUUCAACCCCAACUCUGAGGACCCCCUGCCUGGACGGCCGAAGAAGCAGCUGGCCUUGAGGGUCAUCAGUGGGCAGCAGCUCCCCAAGCCUCGGGACUCCAUGCUGGGCGACCGCGGGGAGAUCAUCGACCCCUUCGUGGAGGUGGAGGUCAUUGGGCUUCCCGUGGACUGCAGCAAGGAACAGACCCGUGUUGUGGAUGACAAUGGAUUCAACCCCAUGUGGGAGGAGACGCUGGUGUUCAUGAUGCACAUGCCUGAGAUCGCGCUGGUGCGCUUCCUUGUCUGGGACCACGACCCCAUCGGGCGCGACUUCAUCGGCCAGAGGACGCUGGCCUUCAGCAGCAUGAUGCCAGGCUAUCGGCACGUGUACCUGGAGGGGAUGGAAGAGGCCUCCAUCUUCGUGCAUGUGGCCAUCAGCGACAUCAGUGGUAAGGCCAAGCAGGCUCUGGGCCUAAAAGGCCUCUUCCUCCGCGGCACAAAGCCAGGCUCCCUGGACAGUCAUGCUGCUGGGCAGCCCCCACCCCGGCCCUCCGUUAGCCAGCGGCUUCUGCGGCGCACGGCCAGCGCCCCGACUAAGAGCCAGAAGCCGGGCCGCAAGGGCUUCCCAGAACUGGCGCUGGGCACACAGGAUGUGGGCUCUGAGGAGGCAGCUGAUGACACGGUGCCCCCUAGCCCUUGUCCCACUCUGGAGACCCCGGCCCAUGAUGGGCCAGGCAGCAGCAUCCCCCGAGGUAAGGCACCGGGGGCAGCAGCAGUAGCUGCUGAGCGAAGGAGCCCCGUGCAGGUGCGGCCCCUGCGUGGCCUCAAGGGCUCUGGGCCCGCCGGGAUGGCCUCCACGUGCAUGAAGUGCGUGGUGGGCUCCUGCACUGGUACAGACAACGAGGGCCUGUGGAGGGAGCGGCAGCCCAGCCCAGGGCCCGCAGGCAGGCUCACGACCAUCUGCCAACAGCCCCAGGCCUGGGUGGAAGCGCCUGGGAGUCCCUGCAGCCCCGGCCCUCGAGCUGCCCCAGGGAGAAGCAAAGAGGCCUCUAAGGGCUCCGGGGCCCAGCGGCAGGGCGCAGGCGGCAGCAGCAGUUCUGUGUCCUUGGACUCCAGCAGCCUAGACAACCCGGGCAGCCCCCAAGUGGCCCCCUGCCCGCCAGGGGGUGCCCACAGACAGCUGGGGGCCCUGCAGGGAGAGAUGAAUGCUUUGUUCACUCAAAAGCUGGAGGAGAUGAGGAAUAGUUCCCCCAUGUUCUCCACGGGUAAGGCCAGUGCUCCUCUGCACUGCGUGCUCUGCACACCCUGGCAUGCCUGGGGCUCCAUCCCCCGUUGUGUUCCUGUCUGCUUCAGUGUGCUCCUGCGGCCCUGUCUGCCCCUCUACACCAGAAACCCCAGCACUCUGCGGGCGACACCAGGCGAAUUUGGGUCACUUGCUGUGCCUGACCCCUGGUCCAGCCAGGCCUCUCCCGGCCUAGUGGUGCAGUGAUGGGGCACCACAGAUGUCCUGUGCCAAAGGUGGCUGGGCCUGCAUGCGGGACCUCGGAGUUUGUGGAGGGCUGAGCGCACUUCCCUUGCUCAGAGCCAGCUCCUGGAGCUGCCACCCAGUCCCGCAGUGAGCAGAGUGGGGAGCUGGGUGCCAGACCGCAGCCUGGGUGGGAGGGACAUGUACUGAGCCCCUCAUCCUGCUCUGCACCCCUGCCUGUCUUGCUGUCCGUCCACCCCUCUGCCAGCCCCACCCUGCUGACCUUGUUCUCCUUUCUGUCCCUGCACCCCGGGCUGCCUCCAUAGUUAGGGACUGAGAGCCGCGUACCAGGUGCCCGCCCGUUCUCCACACAGCGGUCCAUCUCCCCCUUGUGCAGCCUGGAGCCCAUCGAGGAGGAGGCGGCCACCCCCACCAGCCCUCCCAGGGGGCGGUCCCUGCACUCCGCAGGACCUGUGGCCAAAGCGGCCAGUCCCCUACAGAUAGCUCGGGGACCUCCAGGGCCCCUCCAGCUUAGGACUGGGGUCCAUGGGAACAGUGAAGAGGCUCCUGGAAAGCUGCUCAAUGGUGAGGGGCCCACGGGCAGCCAGACAGACAGCAGGAGCCAGCCUCGAGCCCUGGUCCUUCUGCCUGCAGUCAGAAGGGCCAAGAGUGAGGGUCAAGUGCCCCUGGAGCCCCUGGGUGCAUGGCGGCCGCUGGCUGGGCCCGCUCCCAUCCCUGCUGUCUACUCGGAUGCCACAGGCAGCGACCGGACAUGGCAGCGGCUGGAGCCAGGCAGCCACCGAGACAGCGUGUCCUCCUCUUCCAGCAUGUCCUCCAGCGACACAGUCAUCGACCUCUCCCUGACGAGCCUGGUUCUGGGCCGCAGCCGUGAGAGCCUGGCUGGGACCCCCCUGGGCCGCCUGCCCCCACGGCCCUGCACAGCCUCUACAGCCCCGCCCGACCUGCUUCCCGUGACCAAGAGUAAAUCGAACCCCAACCUGCGGGACGCUGGCCAACUGCCUCCCACACCCGAC